rnacentral:rRNA from 1 species
CACGAAGCAAUGUGAGCUAAUUUUAUACAUAUAUUAGAAUUUAUAAUAUGUUACAUAAUAUAUAAUGAUUUAAAAUUAGGAGUGACAUUCUUACCAAAUUUUGCGAUAUCUUGAUGUGUUUGAAAAGUAUUUAGUACAAAUACAAUUUAUAAGCGAUUAGGUUUAUAAAAAAUAUUAAUGAUUGUAAUAUUAAGAUUUGUUUUGUGUAAUAAUUAACAUGUUUAUUUAUUUAAUAUUAUUAUAUAUUAUUUAUAAUUAUUAAAUCACAUACACAAAUUAUAUAAUUGUUAUUUAAUGUUAUUAUUAGUAAUAAAUAGAUAUUUAUAAUGAACUCGGCAAUAUUAUCUUUCAACUGUUUAUCAAAAACAUAGUUAUUAGAAGUUAUUAAUAAUAUAUUCUGCUCAAUGAAUAAUUAAAUAGCCGCAGUACCCUGACUGUGCAAAGGUAGCAUAAUCAUUUGGCUUAUAAUUGAAGUCUUGUAUGAAUGAAAUGAUGGGGGAUAACUAUAUCAUAAAUAUAAUAUAAACUUAUUUAUAAAGUGCAAAUACUUUAAUUUAAAUAAUAGACGAGAAGACCCUUGAAAUUUUAAGAAUAUAUAUUUAGAAGGUUUUUGUUGGGGCAACAAUGUAACAAAUAAUUUACAUAUGUACAUGAAAUAAAAUAGGUUGAAUAAAUUACUCUAGGGAUAACAGCGUAAUAUUAAAAUGUUUGCGACCUCGAUGUUGGAUUAGGAAACAAAAACUUAG